CACGUAGGGCGCAAGCGUUGUCCGGAAUUUAUUGGGCGUAAAGAGCUCGUAGGCGGUUCUGUUACGUCUGCUGUGAAAACUCGGGGCUUAACCCCGAGCCUGCAGUGGAUACGGGGCAGACUAGAGGUAGGUAGGGGAGAAUGGAAUUCCCGGUGUAGCGGUGAAAUGCGCAGAUAAUCGGGAGGAACACCGGUGGCGAAGGCGGUUCUCUGGGCCUUACCUGACGCUGAGGAGCGAAAGCGUGGGGAGCGAACAGG
rnacentral:rRNA from 1 species